rnacentral:siRNA from 1 species
GUGUAGCGCAGUCUGGUCAGC